UGGACGUAGCCAAGUGGAUUAAGGCAGUGAUUUGU
rnacentral:tRNA from 1 species